CAUCAGGGCACACCUAUACAGUGGACAUGGAGUUGGAGCUCAGCACUUGUCCACCAGGCAGCAGUAGUGCAAAAUUCCAACAUCACCUCCAUCAACUUUCUCCCCACAACAGCUGAAAUGAGGGCUGAGCUGCUGAAAAUAACAAAAGAGUCACAUCAGCUGGACCUGUCUUCCACCAUCUCUGCACAAUUGCGCCAAACAUCACCUAUGCAAGAGGACUCAUACUCCAACCAACCCUGUGUACAGGGUAACUCAGAGGGAGCACCUUUACCUCAGUCUCCUGUGAGACGGAUGCUGGGACUGCUCAGUGAAAUGGCUGAAAACUCAGACUACAGUGAUGCCAUGACUACAAUGGCCAAGCAGCUUGAAAAGAUGCAGCACAACCCGACCCAAAUGAUCUCCGCAUUUUACUGCUUUGAAAGGGAUGACUGUGUCAAAACGUGCAGCAGCGUGUGUAUAUAUAUAUAUAAUUAAA
rnacentral:lncRNA from 1 species